rnacentral:rRNA from 1 species
UACAGAGGUCUCGAGCGUUAGGCGGAAUCACUGGGCUUAAAGCGUGUGUAGGUGGAUCGUUAAGUACCUUGUGAAAUCCCACGGCUUAACCGUGGAACUGCUUGGUAUACUGGCGGUCUUGAGUCAGCUAGGGGCUACCGGAACAAAUGGUGGAGCGGUGAAAUGCGUAGAUAUCAGGAGGAACACCAAUGGCGAAGGCAGCUCGCUGGGACGUGACUGACGCUGAGACGCGAAAGCGUGGGGAGCAAACAGG